GACGAAAGUCUGACGGAGCAACGCCGCGUGAGUGAUGAAGGUUUCCGGAUCGUAAAGCUCUGUUGUUAGGGAAGAACAAGUGCGAGAGUAACUGCUCGCACCUUGACGGUACCUAACCAGAAAGCCACGGCUAACUACGUGCCAGCAGCCGCGGUAAUACGUAGGUGGCAAGCGUUGUCCGGAAAUUAUUGGGCGUAAAGGGCUCGCAGGCGGUUUCUUAAGUCUGAUGUGAAAGCCCCCGGCUCAACCGGGGAGGGUCAUUGGAAACUGGGAAACUUGAGUGCAGAAGAGGAGAGUGGAAUUCCACGUGUAGCGGUGAAAUGCGUAGAGAUGUGGAGGAACACCAGUGGCGAAGGCGACUCUCUGGUCUGUAACUGACGCUGAGGAGCGAAAGCGUGGGGAGCGAACAGGAUUAGAUACCCUGGUAGUCCACGCCGUAAACGAUGAGUGCUAAGUGUUAGGGGGUUUCCGCCCCUUAGUGCUGCAGCUAACGCAUUAAGCACUCCGCCUGGGGAGUACGGUCGCAAGACUGAAACUCAAAGGAAUUGACGGGGGCCCGCACAAGCGGUGGAGCAUGUGGUUUAAUUCGAAGCAACGCGAAGAACCUUACCAGGUCUUGACAUCCUCUGACAACCCUAGAGAUAGGGCUUUCCCUUCGGGGACAGAGUGACAGGUGGUGCAUGGUUGUCGUCAGCUCGUGUCGUGAGAUGUUGGGGUUAAGUCCCGCAACGAGCGCAACCCUUGAUCU
rnacentral:rRNA from 1 species